GUGAACGCGGUGCCAUGUGCGGGGGUGAGACGGGGGGGUCGAUGGGUGUGCGGAAUGUCGUGGCGUAAAGGGUGCGUAGUUGGCCUGUUAAGUGGGUGGUGAAAUCCCGCGGCUCAACUGGGGGACUGCGUGUUAUACUAGCGAGCUAGAGCACGGUAGGGGGAGGUGGAAUUCCCGGUGUAGCGGUGGAAUGCGUAGAGAUCGGGAAGAAUACCAGUGGCGAAGGCGUUCUGCUGGGCCGUUGCUGACGCUGAGGCGCGACAGCGUGGGGAGCAAACAGGAUUAGAUACCCGGGUAGUC
rnacentral:rRNA from 1 species